AGGACAGGCUCAAAAGCUACACAGA
rnacentral:piRNA from 1 species